ensembl:misc_RNA Metazoa_SRP Metazoan signal recognition particle RNA
GCCAGGUGUGGUGGCUCACGCCUGUAAUCCCAGCACUCUGGGAGGCUGAGGUGGGCGGAUCACCUGAGGUCAGGAGUUCAAGACCAGCCUGGCCAAUAUGGUGAAACCCCAUCUCUC